rnacentral:lncRNA from 1 species
CUCGGGAAGAUCCCACUCCGAUGGAGACGUGUUCUAUCAUCAAAGCUCCAUUCUGAAGGGAGAAAGAGUACGGGGCUUCAAGAAACUUCGUCUGAGGGUAGAGACACGCGGCCACAUAGAAUCCUUCUGGAGCCCUCAAUCUGUUGCAGACAUGGAUUAGACAUUCAGUGACUUCAGUACUGCUAGAAAAAAUUACAAGAUGUCCAGUUAAAUUUGAAUUUCAGAUAAACGAUGAAUGAUGUUUUAGUCUGACAACUCUAGAUGCAUCCAAUCUAAGGGAAGAAGGAAGGGGAAGGACCCCCAGACACCAAAAUGCAGGUAAACAUUACAGCGUGCUCCAGCUCAGGAGAGUGGUGGUGGAGCGGGAGGGGAGUCCUGGGGCGCUGGCUCGCAGCAGUUUAAAAUUCCUUCCAGGCC